rnacentral:rRNA from 1 species
GAUGAACGCUGGCGGCGUGCCUAAUACAUGCAAGUCGAGCGAACAGACGAGGAGCUUACUCCUCUGACGUUAUCGGCGGACGUGUGAGUAACACGUGGAUAACCUACCUAUAUUACUUGGAUAACUUCGGGAAACCUUAGCUAAUACCGGAUAACAUGUUUAACCGCAUUGUUCAACAGUGUAAGACUGUCUUUCUGUCACUUAUAGAUGGAUCCGCGUCGCAUUAGCUAGUUGGUAAGGUAACGGCUUACCAAGGCAACGAUGCGUAGCCGACCUGAGAGGGUGAUCGGCCACACUGGAACUGAGACACGGUACAGACGACUACGGGAGGCAGCAGUAGGGAAUAUUCCGCAAUGGGCGAAAGCAUGACGGAGCAACGCCGCGUGAGUGAAGAAGGUCUUAGGAUCGUAAAACUCUGUUAUUAGGGAAGAAAAAAUGUGUAAGUAAAUAUGCACGUAUUGACGGUAACUAAUCAGAAAGCCACGGCUAACUACGUG